UCUCUAUGAAGAUAUAUACAGUUUGACCUGCCCACUGAAUUAUUAAAGGGCCGCGGUAUUCCUGACCGUGCGAAGGUAGCAUAAUCAUUAGUCUUUUAAUUGAAGGCUUGUAUGAAAGGUUGGACGAAAAAUGGACUGUUUCAAAUAAAAAGAUUGAAUUUAACUUUUAAGUGAAAAGGCUUAAAUAAAUUAAAAAGACGAUAAGACCCUAUAAAUCUUUACAUUUGUUAUUAUAGGUUUUGGAUUGUGUGUGUAAAAAAAAAUAUAAUAAAAAUGUUGUGUUGGGGCAACAGUGAUAUAGUAAUAUUAAUUGUUAAAAAUAAAAACAAAUAUAUUUGUUAAAUAAAGAUCCUUUUUAAAGAUUUAAAGAUUAAGUUACUUUAGGGAUAACAGCGUUAUUUUUUCUAAGAGUUCUUAUCGAAGAAAAAGAUUGCGACCUCUUUGUUGAAUUAAAAAUUCUUUUUAAUGCAGCAGUUAAAAAAGAAAGUCUGUUCGACUUUUAAAUUUUUACA
rnacentral:rRNA from 1 species